ensembl:lncRNA
GGAUUCCCCUAUAGAUUCUUCUGCUGGAAGAUCAUGCACUGACCGGCCUACACAGGCAACUUGUUUCUGUUGGAAAUUUUAUUACACGUUGUAAGAUAACUGGAAUUCUGCUUUAAAAAAACAAAAAGGUGACUCUAAAACACACAAUAAAUUAUGAAAGUCUUACAGUUUAUUUUUCCACGAAGUUAGUCUGGAAAAUAUAAGCCAAUAAAACAGCAUAUAUGUUGCCUCUUUUGUGAUUUAGCCUUUUCUUGUUCCCUGCUUUGAGGGAACAUGGAUGUGGUCACAAAGUCUGAAGAUGAGCCCUUUUUUUAAGUUCUUUGUCAGAAUCCCUAGUGCUUCCAUUGUUUCCCAAACAGCAACCUCCCCCCGCCCCAACCUCCUUGCCUCUCGCAAACCGAAGAGAGGAUUGUUCUUCUGAAUUUUCCUAAUUCUCUGAGCCGUAAGCAGCUGGAGCUGCUGCAAGGGGUCUUAUUCGUCUCCCAAGGAAUUCCUUUAAUGGGCAAAAUUGGCACAAACGCAGGUGGACAUUAUAUAAAGUGAAAGCUUCAGGAAACAGACCAUUCGUUUCACCUUGAUCUGCUGAAUCACAUACAAGGGCGAAAGACUCCCGCCGCCCCCACCCCCCUCCCCCACACACCGAUAUUCAACACUCUCUUGCACAGAAAACUGAAACAACCCUCUAAACAUCGACUCUUUCUGUCCCCUCCAAGACAUUAAAGUCAGCAAGUGCAAGGUCAGCCUCGUGAGCAGCCUUUCUCGGAGGACAGGCUGGAGCCCGAGGCCGAGUGCAGCCUCUGCCGUAGGGUGUGCAAAGGGUAAGGCCUGUCUCCGAAACUCUAGCGCGGGGGGCGGCAGUCAUUGAAAUUGAUGCCAGAACUCUCGUUAUUCCGUUUUUCGGCCAUUUUCAUCACAGAACCAUUAACUAAGACAUUGCUAGCAACAGGACGGCCCCCUCACCCCCCCGUCCCAGAACUGCCAGCCGCCGGCAGCGCGCAGGAAGGGGAGGCACAAGGCCGCGCGAAGGCUCGUACGCUGACCGGCCAAUAUGGCCACUUUCACGUGGCUGUGGGCUACCG